rnacentral:rRNA from 1 species
UACGUAGGGGGCAAGCGUUGUCCGGAAUCAUUGGGCGUAAAGCGCGUGUAGGCGGCUUCGUCAGUCCGUUGUGAAAGUCCAGGGCUCAACCCUGGAAUGCCGAUGGAUACUGCGGAGCUAGAGUCCGGAAGAGGCGAGUGGAAUUCCUGGUGUAGCGGUGAAAUGCGCAGAUAUCAGGAGGAACACCAAUGGCGAAGGCAGCUCGCUGGGACGGUACUGACGCUCAUGUGCGAAAGCGUGGGGAGCAAACAGG